rnacentral:rRNA from 1 species
AUCACGCCGUUACUCAAAAGAGUACGAGAAGAAAAGAAAAACAACUGGUAACCAAGGAGAGCCUGGUUACCCCAGUAGUUCCACCACGAAAGCGAGUUUCAGAUAGAUGAUCCGUUAUGAUCACCGAAAAUGCGAACCGCAGCUCCCUCACUAAAUUUGACCGCCUAGGGGCAUAGGGCUCGCAUAGGUAAAAAUCAAAUCAAUUGCAGAGGGGCCGCUCCAAUUGAUGGAUGCAUGUUUGUUUAAUUCGAUGCAACGCGAAGAACCUUACCAUCCCCUUGACAUCCAGUGAGUUUUCUAGAGAUAGAUGAGUGCCUUCGGGAACAUUGAGACAGGUGCUGCAUGGCUGUCGUCAGCUCGUGUUGUGAGAUGUUGGGUUAAGUCCCGCAACGAGCGCAACCCUUAUCCUUAGUUGCCAGCGCGUAAUGGCGGGAACUCUGGGGAGACUGCCGGUGAUAAACCGGAGGAAGGUGGGGACGACGUCAAGUCAUCAUGGCCCUUACGGGAUGGGCUACACACGUGCUACAAUGGCGCGUACAAUGGGAAGCUAACUCGCGAGAGUGUGCGGAUCUCAAAAAGCGCGUCGUAGUCCGGAUUGGAGUCUGCAACUCGACUCCAUGAAGUCGGAAUCGCUAGUAAUCGUGGAUCAGAAUGCCACGGUGAAUACGUUCCCGGGCCUUGUACACACCGCCCGUCACACCAUGGGAGUGGGCUGCACCAGAAGUAGAUAGCUUAACCUUCGGGAGGGCGUUUACCACGGUGUGGUUCAUGACUGGGGUGAAGUCGUAACAAGGUAGCCGUA